rnacentral:rRNA from 1 species
CAAUAGCGUAUAUUAAUGUUGUUGCAGUUAAAAAGCUCGUAGUUGGAUUUCUGGUGGGAGCGGCCGGUCCGCCGUAAGGUGUGUACUUGGUUGUCUCCUGUCAUCCUUGUGGGAACUGCUCUGGCAUUAAGUUGUCGGGGUUAGGGAACACAUCGUUUACUGUGAAAAAAUUAGAGUGUUUAAAGCAGGCUUAUGCCGUUGAAUACAUUAGCAUGGAAUAAUAAGAUAGGACUUUGGCGUCUACUUUGUUGGUUUGCACACCAAGGUAAUGAUUAAUAGGGAUAGUUGGGGGUAUUCGUAUUUAAUUGUCAGAGGUGAAAUUCUUGGAUUUAUGAAAGACGAACUUCUGCGAAAGCAUUUACCAAAGAUGUUUUCAUUAA